GAGUAAAGCGGCGCACGGGUGAGUACUACGUAGGUAACCUACCUCCGAGACCGGGAUAACCCUCCGAAAGGAAGGCUAAUACCGGAUGAGACCACGGAGCCUCGGCUCUGCGGUCAAAGGUGGCCUCUACUUGUAAGCUACCACUCAGAGAUGGGCCUGCGCACCAUUAGCUAGUUGGCGAGGUAACGGCUCACCAAGGCGAAGAUGGUUAGCUGAUCUGAGAGGAUGAUCAGCCACACUGGGACUGAGACACGGCCCAGACUCCUACGGGAGGCAGCAGUGGGGAAUCUUGGACAAUGGGGGAAACCCUGAUCCAGCGACGCCGCGUGGGUGAUGAAGGCCUUCGGGUCGUAAAGCCCUGUCGAAGGGGAAGAAACUCUUGCCGGUGAAUAAUCGGCGAGAUUGACGGUACCCUUAAAGGAAGCACCGGCUAACUCUGUGCCAGCAGCCGCGGUAAGACAGAGGGUGCUAGCGUUGUUCGGAAUUACUGGGCGUAAAGGGCGCGUAGGCGGUCUGUUAAGUUCGGUGUGAAAUCCCCUGGCUCAACUGGGGAACUGCGCUGGAAACUGGCAGACUCGAGUACCGGAGAGGAGAGUGGAAUUCCUGGUGUAGCGGUGAAAUGCGUAGAUAUCAGGAGGAACACCGGUGGCGAAGGCGGCUCUCUGGACGGAUACUGACGCUGAGGCGCGA
rnacentral:rRNA from 1 species